rnacentral:rRNA from 1 species
UACGGGGGGGGCAAGCGUUGUUCGGAAUUACUGGGCGUAAAGGGCUUGUAGGUGGCCAACUAAGUCAGACGUGAAAUCCCUCGGCUUAACCGGGGAACUGCGUCUGAUACUGGAUGGCUGGAGUGUGGGAGAGGGAUGCGGAAUUCCAGGUGUAGCGGUGAAAUGCGUAGAUAUCUGGAGGAACACCGGUGGCGAAGGCGGCAUCCUGGACCAACACUGACACUGAGGAGCGAAAGCCAGGGGAGCAAACGGG